AUACGUAGGUGGCAAGCGUUGUCCGGAUUUACUGGGCGUAAAGGGUGCGCAGGCGGAUAUUUAAGUGGGAUGUGAAAUCCCCGGGCUUAACCUGGGGGCUGCAUUCCAAACUGGAUAUCUAGAGUGGAGGAGAGGAGAAUGGAAUUCCUAGUGUAGCGGUGAAAUGCGUAGAGAUUAGGAAGAACACCAGUGGCGAAGGCGAUUCUCUGGACUGUAACUGACGCUGAGGCACGAAAGCGUGGGUAGCAAACAGGAUUAGAUACCCUGGUAGUCCACGCCGUAAACGAUGAGUACUAGGUAUAGGAGGUAUCGACCCCUUCUGUGCCGCAGCAAACGCAAUAAGUACUCCGCCUGGGAAGUACGAUCGCAAGAUUAAA
rnacentral:rRNA from 1 species